UUUUGAAGAAUGAGCCUGCGAGUCAGUGGCGUGUCGCGAGGUUAACCCGUGUGGGGUAGCCGUAGCGAGAGCGAGUCCGAAUAGGGCGAUGUGUAGUGGCGCGUUCUGGACCCGAAGCGGGGUGAUCUACCCAUGGCCAGGUUGAAGCACGUGUAAGAGCGUGUGGAGGACCGAACCCACCUAGGUUGAAAACUGGGGGGAUGAGCUGUGGGUAGGGGUGAAAGGCCAAUCAAACUCCGUGAUAGCUGGUUCUCCCCGAAAUGCAUUUAGGUGCAGCGUCGCGUGUUGCCCGGCGGAGGUAGAGCUACUGGGUGGCUGAUGGGCCCCACAGGGUUACUGACGUCAACCAAACUCCGAAUGCCGUCGGGUUGUAGCGUGGCAGUGAGACCGCGGGGGAUAAGCUCCGUGGUCGAGAGGGAAACAGCCCAGAUCGCCGGCUAAGGCCCCUAAGCGUGUGCUAAGUGGGAAAGGAUGUGCGGUCGCGCAGACAACCAGGAGGUUGGCUUAGAAGCAGCCAUCCUUGAAAGAGUGCGUAAUAGCUCACUGGUCAAGUGAUCGUGCGCCGACAAUGUAGCGGGGCUCAAGCACA
rnacentral:rRNA from 1 species